rnacentral:ncRNA from 1 species
AAAUGAAUUUAGGUGCCUAUUAUGUAUAAUGGGUGAAAAGGGAAUGUGGUUAAAUUCCACAGCAGCCCCCGCUACUGUAAUAGAUGACGAGCCUUUAAUAACCACUUCUAAAAAGAAGGAAGGUAAAGGUUAGAAUGAUUCUUAAGCCAGGAGACCUGCCUAAAUUAUUAA